CUCAAAGACAAGCUCGAGUACCACGUACUAAAUCCAGCAACAUUACGUGGAUAAAAGUGCAGUGUCCUCUACAGCGCAACGGUAUCGAUUGCGGAUACUUUGUAAUGAGGUUUAUGAGGGAAAUCAUUAAUAUGAAUCAAAUAGAGAUUCCAAUCACGUACUUUGAUGAAUACAAGUGUGCUCAUUACACGAGACUGCAGUUGGAACAAAUCAAGGAGGAAUUGUGUCAAUAUUUUAUUGAGAAAAGAUUAAUUAUAUAAUGGUUUCAAAAUAACAUGAAUACUUUGAUGAAGAAUGGUUUCUGGUUGGCAAGUGUAUAGUUCUUUAUAUUUUUAACAGAUUAGUUAUGACUCCAAAUAGGCCGUAUAACAUAUUAGUUUUGACUUGUGUAUAGU